GCCAAUCUACACUGCAUGGACCCAUAUGGCUAGGGACCAUGUAUGUGUGCAGUCAAACUACAAUAACCUCCCUGUGAGUAGCCGAAGCACCGCAGGUCAAAGGACCAGUCACACUACUGCAACAUCAAGCAAGUCACUGACGAGUGGAUAGACAUCCAAGUGACUUCUUGUCUUGGUCACGCUCAGUACCCUUGUUCUCUAACAAGCAU
rnacentral:lncRNA from 1 species